UUCAGGUUACGUUGUCCCUUAUAUCCUGACUCUUCUAUUUUGAAGUCGAUACAAACGACUAGUGCAAGUUUGAAGAACUAUAAUUAAGCGCCAUCUCUUCCGAGUGUUUGGCUAGAGGCUGGGCUAUAGCCGCUUGGAACACUCGUGGGCGCUGUCGGGAACCGCAACCUGCCUCCUGAGGUGUCACUGAUGGGACUCACCAUGUGCUUUGUAAGCCCACGAUUCACCAUGACUAUAUUCUUAGCAAGGUGUUGCAUAACAACAAGAAGGGAUUCUUCAGUGUAUGACAGGAAGUGAUUAAUAUGAAAAGUAAAAUGCCAACUUGAAGUCAGCAGAAUCUAAAUGCUAACAGGAAAAACAGAAAAGUAAAUAAAUUCAGAUUCUGGACAUUACUCCAAAGGAGAGUGCAGCUCACCCUGGUGACCCGGAGCGCCAUGGCUUCCUCUCCACCAGGUUGCAGCUCAGUGGGAAGAAGCAGAAAACGGGAGCCCCCGAC